rnacentral:misc_RNA from 1 species
GAUAGAUGUGAAGGGAAGCAUACAAGGCAGUGGAGAAGUUUUUGUGGAUACAUUUGGUGGUGAUGGAAUGAAGAAGAGGCCAUUGGCAUUAGUAAUGGGAUCAAGGCCUUAUAGUAAAGGAAUUUGUGAAGGUAUAGAAACAGUACUAAAAAGUAUGAAGGCAGGUGGAAAAAGAAGAGUGAUAAUUCCUCCAAAUUUGGGAUUU